rnacentral:tRNA from 1 species
GCCUGGCUGGCUCAGUCAGGGGAGCGUUUGGACUCUUGAUCUCAGAGUUGUGAGUUCGAGCCCCACGUCGGGUG